rnacentral:rRNA from 1 species
AUUGAACGCUGGCGGCAUGCCUUACACAUGCAAGUCGAACGGCAGCAUGAUCUAGCUUGCUAGAUUGAUGGCGAGUGGCGAACGGGUGAGUAAUACAUCGGAACGUGCCCUGUAGUGGGGGAUAACUAGUCGAAAGAUUAGCUAAUACCGCAUACGACCUGAGGGUGAAAGUGGGGGACCGCAAGGCCUCAUGCUAUAGGAGCGGCCGAUGUCUGAUUAGCUAGUUGGUGAGGUAAAGGCUCACCAAGGCGACGAUCAGUAGCUGGUCUGAGAGGUCGAUCGGCCACACUGGGACUGAGACACGGCCCAGACUCCUACGGGAGGCGGCAGUGGGGAAUUUUGGACAAUGGGCGAAAGCCUGAUCCAGCAAUGCCGCGUGUGUGAAGAAGGCCUUCGGGUUGUAAAGCACUUUUGUCCGGAAAGAAAUGGCUCUGGUUAAUACCUGGAGUCGAUGACGGUACCGGAAGAACAAGGACCGGCUAACUACGUG